rnacentral:snRNA from 12 species
CUACUUACCUGGCAGGGGGAUAGACUGAGAUCAAUAAUGUGGCCUUCCUGGAUAAGGAUAUUAUUUGCAUUACAGUUUUGCUGACUCUUGUGAUUUCUCUGACUGUGGAGAAGCUGACUGCAUAAUUUGUAGUGAAAGACUAUAUUUACACCUUUAA